CUAGGCCUCCGUUAUGACCCGA
rnacentral:siRNA from 1 species